rnacentral:rRNA from 1 species
AUUGAACGCUGGCGGCAUGCUUUACACAUGCAAGUCGAACGGCAGCGAGGAGAAGCUUGCUUCUCUGUCGGCGAGUGGCGAACGGGUGAGUAUAGCAUCGGAACGUGCCAAGUAGUGGGGGAUAACCAAACGAAAGUUUGGCUAAUACCGCGUAAGCUCUAAGGAGGAAAGUAGGGGACCUAAAUAAGGCCUUACGCUAUUUGAUCGGCCGAUGUCGGAUUAGCUAGUUGGUGGGGUAAUGGCUCACCAAGGCAAUGAUCCGUAGCGGGUCUGAGAGGACGAUCCGCCACACUGGGACUGAGACACGGCCCAGACUCCUACGGGAGGCAGCAGUGGGGAAUUUUGGACAAAGGGGGAAACCCUGAUCCAGCCAUGCCGCGUGUAUGAAGAAGGCCUUAGGGUUGUAAAGUACUUUUGUUAGGGAAGAAAAGCUAGUUUUUAAUAAAAAGUAGUGAUGACGGUACCUAAAGAAUAAGCACCGGCUAACUACGUG